CCUACGGGUGGCUGCAGUGGGGAAUAUUGGACAAUGUGCGAAAGCCUGAUCCAGCCAUGCCGCGUGUGUGAAGAAGGCCUUCGGGUUGUAAAGCACUUUCAGUGGGGAAGAAAGCCUUGGGGCUAAUACCCUCGAGGAAGGACAUCACCCACAGAAGAAGCACCGGCUAACUCCGUGCCAGCAGCCGCGGUAAUACGGAGGGUGCGAGCGUUAAUCGGAAUUACUGGGCGUAAAGCGCGCGUAGGCGGUCUGAUAAGCCGGUUGUGAAAGCCCCGGGCUCAACCUGGGAACGGCAUCCGGAACUGUCAGGCUAGAGUGCAGGAGAGGAAGGUAGAAUUCCCGGUGUAGCGGUGAAAUGCGUAGAGAUCGGGAGGAAUACCAGUGGCGAAGGCGGCCUUCUGGACUGACACUGACGCUGAGGUGCGAAAGCGUGGGUAGCAAACAGGAUUAGAUACCCCAGUAGUC
rnacentral:rRNA from 1 species